rnacentral:rRNA from 1 species
UACGGAGGAUGCGAGCGUUAUCCGGAUUUACUGGGUGUAAAGGGAGCGUAGACGGCAGCGCAAGUCUGGAGUGAAAUCCCAUGGCUUAACCAUGGAACUGCAUCUAAAACUGCAUAGCUGGAGUGCAGGAGAGGUGAGUGGAAUUCCUAGUGUAGCGGUGGAAUGCGUAGAUAUUAGGAGGAACACCAGAGGCGAAGGCGACUCACUGGACUGUAACUGACGCUGAGGCUCGAAAGCGUGGGGAGCAAACAGG